CCUACGGGUGGCAGCAGUGAGGAAUAUUGGUCAAUGGGCGCGAGCCUGAACCAGCCAAGUCGCGUGAAGGAUGACUGCCCUAUGGGUUGUAAACUUCUUUUGUAAGGGAGUAAAGUCAGGCACGUGUGCCUGUUUGUGAGUACCUGAUGAAUAAGGAUCGGCUAACUCCGUGCCAGCAGCCGCGGUAAUACGGAGGAUCCGAGCGUUAUCCGGAUUUAUUGGGUUUAAAGGGUGCGUAGGCGGGGUGUUAAGUCAGCGGUAAAAUUUCGGGGCUCAACUCCAUCCAGCCGUUGAAACUGGUGGUCUGGAGUGGGCGAGAAGUAGGCGGAAUGCGUGGUGUAGCGGUGAAAUGCAUAGAUAUCACGCAGAACCCCGAUUGCGAAGGCAGCAUUCCGGCGCCCUACUGACGCUGAGGCACGAAAGUGUGGGGAUCGAACAGGAUUAGAUACCCCAGUAGUC
rnacentral:rRNA from 1 species